rnacentral:rRNA from 1 species
CCUACGGGCGGCUGCAGUGGGGAAUAUCGCACAAUGGGCGCAAGCCUGAUGCAGCCAUGCCGCGUGUGUGAAGAAGGCCUUCGGGUUGUAAAGCACUUUCAGCGGGGAGGAAGGCGUUAAGGUUAAUAACCUUGGCGAUUGACGUUACCCGCAGAAGAAGCACCGGCUAACUCCGUGCCAGCAGCCGCGGUAAUACGGAGGGUGCAAGCGUUAAUCGGAAUUACUGGGCGUAAAGCGCACGCAGGCGGUCUGUCAAGUCGGAUGUGAAAUCCCCGGGCUCAACCUGGGAACUGCAUUCGAAACUGGCAGGCUAGAGUCUUGUAGAGGGGGGUAGAAUUCCAGGUGUAGCGGUGAAAUGCGUAGAGAUCUGGAGGAAUACCGGUGGCGAAGGCGGCCCCCUGGACAAAGACUGACGCUCAGGUGCGAAAGCGUGGGGAGCAAACAGGAUUAGAUACCCGUGUAGUC